AUUGAACGCUGGCGGCAGGCCUAACACAACCAAGUCGGGCGAGGGGCGGACGGGUGAGUAAUGUAUGGGAAUCUGCCUGAUGGAGGGGGAUAACUACUGGAAACGGUAGCUAAUACCGCAUACCAUCAGAUGAGCCCAUAUGGGAGUAGCUAGUAGGUGAGGUAACGGCUCACCUAGGCGACGAGCCCUAGCUUGUCUGAGAGGAUGAUCAGCCACACUGGGACUGAGACACGGUCCAGACUCCUCCGGGAGGCAGCAGUGGGGAAUAUUGCCCAAUGGGCGCAAGCCUGAUGCAGCCAUGCCGCGUGUAUGUAGAAGGCCUUCGGGUUGUAAAGUACUUUCAGUCGGGAGGCGUUACCGACAGAAGAAGCACCGGCUAACUCCGUGCCAGCAGCCGCGGUAAUUC
rnacentral:rRNA from 1 species